rnacentral:rRNA from 1 species
UACGGAGGGAGCUAGCGUUAUUCGGAAUUACUGGGCGUAAAGCGCACGUAGGCGGCUUUGUAAGUUAGAGGUGAAAGCCUGGAGCUCAACUCCAGAAUUGCCUUUAAGACUGCAUCGCUUGAAUCCAGGAGAGGUGAGUGGAAUUCCGAGUGUAGAGGUGAAAUUCGUAGAUAUUCGGAAGAACACCAGUGGCGAAGGCGGCUCACUGGACCGUUGUUGACGCUGAGGUGCGAAAGCGUGGGGAGCAAACGGG